rnacentral:rRNA from 1 species
AUUGAACGCUGGCGGCAGGCCUAACACAUGCAAGUCGAACGAGUGGCGGACGGGUGAGUAAUGUCUGGGAAACUGCCUGAUGGAGGGGGCAAACUACGGGAAAAGGUAGCUAAAACCGCAUACCAUCGGAUGUGCCCAGGUUGGAUUAGCUAGUAGGUGGGGUAAAGGCUCACCUAGGCGACGCUCCCUAGCUGGUCUGAGAGGUGGACCAGCCACACUGGAACUGAGACACGGUCCAGACUCCUACGGGAGGCAGCAGUGGGGAAUAUUGCGCAAUGGGCGCAAGCCUGAUGCAGCCAUGCCGCGUGUAUGAAGAAGGCCUUCGGGUUGUAAAGUACUUUCAGCGGGGAGGCGUUACCCGCAGAGGAAGCACCGGCUAACUCCGUGCCAGCCGCCGCGGUAAUAC